AUGUGGAAGACUUUGAUGGCUUGGUGGAUCGAUGUUCAAACUUCAGAGAGACACUGCUGCUCUGAGAGAGGCUGCCUCAAAGACUGCUCCACUCAACCACCCAGACCAGCAGGGGGCAGCAUUUCAACUGCUACUGAUGAGACUGCCUAUGGUCAGAUAAAUCAGGAAAGUAAAUCAGAUAGUCAAUACAAUAAGCUUUGUGUGAAAUGUCUGCCAGAAGAAAAAUAUCCUGUGGCAGUGGAUAAAGAAGUAUUCCAUAAAUCUGUGCAUGGCCUCUGUGAGGGAGAGGAGGGAAUCCAGUCAACAGCAUCAGAAAUUAGGGAACUCUGUGGGGAGCAUGGAGAGAUACUGCCUGAGGUCAGGAGCACAGACAAUGAGACCAGGCUGGUAGGGGGAGACCUCACAUCCCAGAGAACUGAGCGAGGGCCUCGCUGGGCAACGGAGGAGCAUGAGUCCGAGCUCACAUGUAGAGAGGUGUUUACGGUGCUCACGGAAGAGAGGUGUUUUUCAGAUUUAUCAGCUACCCUGACUGAGGAGGCCGUAGGAGGGUGGAGGGAGGCAGGGGCUGGGCAGUUUAAUUCCCUUUUACGAGCCUCUGCUGCUGCUGGCCCUGCUACCUCUGUAACACACUCUCCGCCUAAUCCGGCCUCCUCAGGAGCCAUGACAACAGGCCUCCCUGCUCCAAAUGGGGGGCAGACAGACGCUGGAGGUUGGGCUCUGGUGCCUCUGCUACGGAGCCCAGGGGAGCAGGAGUGGAAGAGGGGCCGGGACGAGAGCAAGGUGGCCUCCAACGGUGGGUUCCUGGAUGGGGGGCCGGGGGCGGAGGAUGACUUUGGGCUUUUCAUGCAGGCAGAGGAGCAGCCGCCCUGGGACGACCGCUUCACUGCAUCACCCCUAGUGCCUUCUGGGAAAAGUGAGAGUGUUGCACUUGAAAACCAUUCCAUCACCAACGAGUCGACCCAUUGGACCUCAUGUUGGCCAGACCGCUCAUUCCAACCACCAGAGGAUGCCUGGACAGCCUUCCCAAAGGAUUCAGAGGGAGAGGGACAAGACACAAGAGGACAGUGGUGGCCCACAAAUGCUGUGGAGAAGACGAGGGGAAGAUUCUCUGCCAAGGGAAAUGUGAACAAUGUGUUUGUGGAGUCCUUCCCGUCACUGUCUACUCCCCUGUAUGACCGUGAUGCUGUUCCCAUGCUCAGCCAGCUCCUCAGAGGCAUCUUGGAUCAUGAAAGCUCUGCAGAGGAUCAUGGCUUACUUGAUGGGUUCCAUGACCUGAAGAAGAUGUUUGGCUUGAAAUAUAAGAGGGCAAAUGCUGUUUCCCGUGGACGGCUUCUACAGUCGCUACAUUUGGGCCAGUAUGACACGGAAAAUAUGACUGGGCAUAGAGCAGCCAACUACAGUCCCUCUCUUGGCCUCCCCUCGUCCAGUCAGCAUGCACAGGCCUGUGGGAAGAGACGGUUAUCUUAUGAUGUCAACAAGAACAUCAUGGAAUAACCAAGAUUUCCACUUUCCCUGACUGUCAACAACACAUUGUCUUUACUAUGCCCUUCUAUGCCAAACCACUAAUGGGUCACGGUCUUCAUCUCCAUGGGGAGAAAUAACAAAAAAAUGUCACAAGAUUCAGAACUCAGAGGAUGGACCAGCUGACUAUAUGGUGACCCUUAAUAAUGCCCUGUUUUGCUUGACAUUUCCCUGGAGUUGGAUCAAUAGAUGCAUACCUGUGACUAAUUGGAUAAAAUGAAGCACAAAUGAUUAUUUUUGUCUCACAAAUAUUCCUAAAAUACAUGCAGAUGUUUACAUUCUUAUUAAUCUCAUUCUUUUAGGGACUCUAUGAAAUGUUAAAGUAAUUUGUUUGUCAGGAGAAGUGGAUGUCUAUACCCCUCCCCCUUCGUUCACUCCCACCCGCUUUCCCCCACACACACACGGACUUGGACACAAACACACACUGUCCUCUCCCAUCAUGUGGUCUGGCUCAACUGUGUGCCAGUGACAACUCUGGAGCAGAAUAUAUUCUGUUGGUUUAGCUAACAUUGGAGCUCACAUGGAUCACAGCUCCUUUUCUUAUUAUUUCAGUACAUAAUGACCAUGUUUACUGAAAUGAUUACCUUUUUAAAUUGGGGUGUUUCUGUCUGUCAGAAUUACGUUUUGUACUGGCUAAGAGAAAGUGUUAUUUUACCAGUACAAGUUUGUUUUAGAUCACAAAAAUGCAAUCAUGUCCUAUUAAGACUCCAUUUGUUUUUGUGGGGGCAACCCUGGGCAACUCAGUAGGUCUACAGAAAAUGUAUUUGAUGUUUGUCAUUUGUACAUAAUUCCAAGGGAAAAUACAGAUUUUUUUUCUGAGUGGUUCAAAUGGAUAAAAAAAAGAGAUUGUCAACUUGUUCAUUGAUGUAAUAAAAUGACACGGUGAUUGCGGUUUUCCAUCCUCAAAGCUUUUGCUAAUGUUGUUGCUGUGUCAUUUUUAGAAGUACCUAAAUGGUCAUCUUAUUUGCGUAUUUGACACAAUACUCACUAUAAACCAAAACAGCAAAAAAUAGUACUUCUACAGGCUACAUGUGUCAGUCAAUUAGAAUGGUGUACGGCGCUAGAAUGAAGUAUCACAGGUCAAAGGGAAACUGCACUGGCAAAUCAACACUUCCAAGUGACAUACAUUGAAUUAGCACACCAUUAC
ensembl:lncRNA